GACGAACGCUGGCGGCGUGCUUAACACAUGCAAGUCGAACGGAAAGGCCCUGCUUAUGUGGGGUGCUCGAGUGGCGAACGUGUGAGUAACACGUGAGUAACCUGCCCUGGACUUUGGGAUAACUUCAGGAAACUGGGGCUAAUACCGGAUAGGAGCUCCUGCUGCAUGGGGGGGGUUGGAAAGUUUCGGCGGUUGGGGAUGGACUCGCGGCUUAUCAGCUUGUUGGUGGGGUAGUGGCUUACCAAGGCUUUGACGGGUAGCCGGCCUGAGAGGGUGACCGGCGACAUUGGGACUGAGAUAGGGCCCAGACUCCUACGGGAGGCAACAGUGGGGAAUAUUGCACAAUGAGCGGAAGCCAGAUGCAGCAGCGCCGCGUGCGGGAUGACGGCCUUCGAGUUGUGAACCGCUUUCGCCUAUGACGAAGCGUGAGUGACGGUAAUGGGUAAAGAAGCACCGGCUAACUACGUG
rnacentral:rRNA from 1 species